UACAGAGGGUGCGAGCGUUAAUCGGAAUUACUGGGCGUAAAGCGUGCGUAGACGGUUAUUUAAGUCGGGUGUGAAAGCCCCGGGCUCAACCUGGGAAUUGCAUUCGAGACUGAAUAGCUAGGGUACGGUAAAGGGAAGUGGAAUUUCCGGUGUAGCGGUGAAAUGCGUAGAUAUCGGAAGGAACAUCAGUGGCGAAAGCGACUUCCUGGACCAGUACCGACGUUCAGGCACGAAAGCGUGGGGAGCAAACAGG
rnacentral:rRNA from 1 species